AUGGACCCUAGUACAAUGUGGAAGCGGAAAAAGGGUGAAUGCGCUAAUGUUACAAUUCAAUUGUACAUUUGUUGUUCAUAUCAGGGUGAGCUGCAGCUUGGGGCGGUGGGGCUGAGGCUCCACCACUUCCAUAUGGAUCAUAACACUCUGCAACACAGCAUAGCUUAUGUUUGUUCCAGGCUUGGUUACUUUCUGGUGCACCUCGUCUACUACCCAGUCAGCCCCUUUGUCUCCCUUCGCCAUAAGAUAGAUGGGCCCUUCUAUGCCAAACCUGUUGCAAAAAAGUACCAAAUGAGAACAAGAAAGGCGCUGGCUAAUGCAUACCCAUCGCAGAUGAUGCUAUUAUUUGGAAGUAUUUGGAAAAAUUAA
rnacentral:rRNA from 1 species